UGACUUUUAAUUGGAUAUGUUAGU
rnacentral:piRNA from 1 species